rnacentral:rRNA from 1 species
UACGUAGGGUGCAAGCGUUGUCCGGAAUUAUUGGGCGUAAAGAGCUCGUAGGUGGCUUGUCACGUCUGCUGUGAAAACUCGGGGCUCAACCCCGAGCCUGCAGUGGAUACGGGCUAGCUAGAGUGCGGUAGGGGAGACUGGAAUUCCUGGUGUAGCGGUGGAAUGCGCAGAUAUCAGGAGGAACACCGAUGGCGAAGGCAGGUCUCUGGGCCGCAACUGACGCUGAGGAGCGAAAGCGUGGGGAGCGAACAGG